GAUCUCUAAUAAUUAAUUGUGAAAUAAAAGUGAAUCGAAGCGUACGUGCCAAAAUGCCGAAAGCCAUUUACUAACAAUUACUUCGCGAUGCUUGGUUGGAAAACAAUGAGUGUAAGGACUGGCUCCGGAAAAUGCCAGCUGAUCCAGCAAAGGCAUUUUGUUGCUAUUGUAAAUGCUCAGUAGCAGCUAAGGUAUACGACAUACGGCAACAUGCAGUGUCCAAAAAACAUAUUUCGACAAUGGGCGCAAUUGGUCAAACACAAAAACUAAGUUUUCCUUCCAAAUGCUGGAAGACAGAGGAGCAGGAAGCUGCACUAUGUUUGUGAAAGACUUCCCGACAACUUCAAUAUUUUAAAGAAGGUCAAUAUAUUUGCAGUGGAUAAUAUACUGCGACCCCACAAAAAUAUAUUUGAUUGAUAAAUAUUUUUGAAUAUUUUAAAAUAACUGAUAUCGAUGAAUUAAAAUCACAAUUGGACAAAAUUCACCUGAUAAAAUGGGGAAAAAAACAGAAGAAUCGAUGCAAUUUUGGGCAGAGGUGCUAGCGUAUAGACACGCAGGAAACAAAAACCCCUUUAAGGCGCUUGCAUUAUUUGCCAUCCAGUUGUUUUCCCUGCCAUGGUCCAAUGCAGAGGUGGAACGAGUGUUCAGCCAAAUGAACAUAGUGAAGUCAAAAUUGCGCAAUAAAAUGGCAUUAAAAAGCUUGAAUGCAAUAUUGAGCAUAAGAUAUGGGUUACGAAGACACAAUGAAUGCUGUCAUACCUAUUCGUUGCCACAAAAGUAUCUUGACCAAAUUAAAAAAAAAACACUAAUAUUUGAAUGACGGGGAGAACGACGAUAUUGAAAGUGUUUAAUAUAAUAAAAACAUGAAAAUUACUUUAAUUUGCCUAUUUUUACCCAAAAUCUAGCCUAUUUGCGAGCUCAAUGCCUGGCAACACUUAUCUGCAGUCUUCAGGCCUUCGCAUAUUGGAUCGAGAAUAUUCCUCAUAUUUGGUGAAUUUAAGACAUUAAAAGGGAUGCUGUCUUCUGUUACCA